AUUGAACGCUGGCGGCAUGCCUUACACAUGCAAGUCGAACGGUAACGGGUCCUUCGGGAUGCCGACGAGUGGCGAACGGGUGAGUAAUAUAUCGGAACGUGCCCAGUAGUGGGGGAUAACUGCUCGAAAGAGCAGCUAAUACCGCAUACGACCUGAGGGUGAAAGGGGGGGAUCGCAAGACCUCUCGCUAUUGGAGCGGCCGAUAUCAGAUUAGCUAGUUGGUGGGGUAAAGGCCUACCAAGGCAACGAUCUGUAGUUGGUCUGAGAGGACGACCAGCCACACUGGGACUGAGACACGGCCCAGACUCCUACGGGAGGCAGCAGUGGGGAAUUUUGGACAAUGGGCGCAAGCCUGAUCCAGCAAUGCCGCGUGCAGGAAGAAGGCCUUCGGGUUGUGAACUGCUUUUGUCAGGGAAGAAAUCUUCUGGGCUAAUACCCCGGGAGGAUGACGGUACCUGAAGAAUAAGCACCGGCUAACUACGUGCCAGCAGCCGCGGUAAUACGUAGGGUGCGAGCGUUAAUCGGAAUUACUGGGCGUAAAGCGUGCGCAGGCGGCUUUGCAAGACAGAUGUGAAAUCCCCGGGCUCAACCUGGGAACUGCAUUUGUGACUGCAAGGCUAGAGUACGGCAGAGGGGGAUGGAAUUCCGCGUGUAGCAGUGAAAUGCGUAGAUAUGCGGAGGAACACCAAUGGCGAAGGCAAUCCCCUGGGCCUGUACUGACGCUCAUGCACGAAAGCGUGGGGAGCAAACAGGAUUAGAUACCCUGGUAGUCCACGCCCUAAACGAUGUCAACUGGUUGUUGGACGGCUUGCUGUUCAGUAACGAAGCUAACGCGUGAAGUUGACCGCCUGGGGAGUACGGCCGCAAGGUUGAGACUCAAAGGAAUUGACGGGGACCCGCACAAGCGGUGGAUGAUGUGGUUUAAUUCGAUGCAACGCGAAAAACCUUACCUACCCUUGACAUGUCAAGAAUUCUGCAGAGAUGUGGAAGUGCUCGAAAGAGAACUUGAACACAGGUGCCGCAUGGCCGUCGUCAGCUCGUGUCGUGAGAUGUUGGGUUAAGUCCCGCAACGAGCGCAACCCUUGUCAUUAGUUGCUACGCAAGAGCACUCUAAUGAGACUGCCGGUGACAAACCGGAGGAAGGUGGGGAUGACGUCAGGUCCUCAUGGCCCUUAUGGGUAGGGCUACACACGUCAUACAAUGGCCGGUACAGAGGGCUGCCAACCCGCGAGGGGGAGCCAAUCCCAGAAAACCGGUCGUAGUCCGGAUCGUAGUCUGCAACUCGACUGCGUGAAGUCGGAAUCGCUAGUAAUCGCGGAUCAGCUUGCCGCGGUGAAUACGUUCCCGGGUCU
rnacentral:rRNA from 1 species